CCUACGGGGGGCAGCAGUGGGGAAUAUUGCACAAUGGGCGCAAGCCUGAUGCAGCCAUGCCGCGUGUAUAAAGAAGGCCUUCGGGUUGUAAAGUACUUUCAGUCGGGAGGAAGGUGUUAAGGUUAAUAACCUUAGCAAUUGACGUUAGCGACAGAAGAAGCACCGGCUAACUCCGUGCCAGCAGCCGCGGUAAUACGGAGGGUGCGAGCGUUAAUCGGAAUUACUGGGCGUAAAUUGCACGCAGGUCAUUAAGUAAUUUAACUUUUAAUUCCGCUGGCUUCAGCUGUGAAUUGCAUACACGACUGGUUAGCUAGAGUCUUGUAGAGGGUGGUAGUAUUCCAUGUGUAGCGGUGAUAUGCGUAUAGUUGUGGAGGAAUAACGGUAGCGAAGGCGGCCCUCUGGACAAAUUCUGACUCUCAGGUGCGAGAGCGUGGGUAGCACACACGAUUAGAUACUCUUGUAGUC
rnacentral:rRNA from 1 species